rnacentral:rRNA from 1 species
GACUCGUGCUGAGACGACGCUGGCGGCACGCUUAACACAUGCAAGUCGAACGAGAGAAGAGAAGCUUGCUUUUCUGAUCUAGUGGCGACGGGUGAGUAACGCGUGAGUAACCUGCCUCUAAGAGGGGAAUAACAUUCUGAAAAGAAUGCUAAUACCGCAUAAUAUAUAUUUAUCGCAUGGUAGAUAUAUCAAAGAUUUUAUCGCUUAGAGAUGGACUCGCGUCCGAUUAGUUAGUUGGUGAGGUAACGGCUCACCAAGACCGCGAUCGGUAGCCGGACUGAGAGGUUGAACGGCCACAUUGGGACUGAGACACGGCCCAGACUCCUACGGGAGGCAGCAGUGGGGGAUAUUGCGCAAUGGGGGAAACCCUGACGCAGCAACGCCGCGUGAAGGAUGAAGGUCUUCGGAUUGUAAACUUCUUUUAUUAAGGACGAAGAAAGUGACGGUACUUAAUGAAUAAGCUCCGGCUAACUACGUG